UACGGGGGGUGCGAGCGUUGUCCGGAAUCAUUGGGCGUAAAGGGCGCGUAGGUGGCGGGACAAGCGUGCGGUGAAAGCCUGGGGCUCAACCCCGGGUCGGCCGUGCGAACUGUUUUGCUUGAGCACUGUAGAGGCAGGCGGAAUUCCGGGUGUAGCGGUGGAAUGCGUAGAGAUCCGGAAGAACACCGGUGGCGAAGGCGGCCUGCUGGACCAAUAUUGACGCUGAGGAGCGAAAGCCAGGGGAGCAAACGGG
rnacentral:rRNA from 1 species